rnacentral:rRNA from 1 species
GCGCCAGACUCCUACGGGAGGCAGCAGUGGGGAAUAUUGCACAAUGGGGGAAACCCUGAUGCAGCGACGCCGCGUGAGUGAAGAAGUAUUUCGGUAUGUAAAGCUCUAUCAGCAGGAACGAGACAAGACGGUACCUGACUAAGAAGCCCCGGCUAACUACGUGCCAGCAGCCGCGGUAAUACGUAGGGGGCAAGCGUUAUCCGGAAUCACUGGGUGUAAAGGGAGCGUAGACGGCUGUGCAAGCCUGAAGUGAAAGGCGGGGGCCCAACCCCUGGACUGCUUUGGGAACUGUACGGCUGGAGUGCCGGAGAGGCAGGCGGAAUUCCUAGUGUAGCGGUGAAAUGCGUAGAUAUUAGGAGGAACACCAGUGGCGAAGGCGGCCUGCUGGACGGUGACUGACGCUGAGGCUCGAAAGCGUGGGGAGCAAACAGGAUUAGAUACCCUGGUAGG